rnacentral:pre_miRNA from 1 species
CGUGUUCACAGCGGACCUUGAUUUAAUUUCGAUACAAUUAAGGCACGCGGUGAAUGCCAA